rnacentral:snRNA from 1 species
AUGCUCAUUUCGGCAGCACAGAUACUAAAAUUGGAACAAUACAGAGAAGAUUAGCAUGGCCCUUGCGCAAGGAUGACACACAAAUUCAUGAAGGGUCUUCCACUCAC